rnacentral:rRNA from 1 species
GAUGAACGCUGGCGGCGUGCCUAAUACAUGCAAGUCGAGCGAACGGACGAGAAGCUUGCUUCUCUGAUGUUAGCGGCGGACGGGUGAGUAACACGUGGAUAACCUACCUAUAAGACUGGGAUAACUUCGGGAAACCGUAGCUAAUACCGGAUAAUAUUUUGAACCGCAUGGUUCAAAAGUGAAAGACGCUCUUGCUGUCACUUAUAGAUGGAUCCGCUCUGCAUUAGCUAGUUGGUAAGGUACCGGCUUACCAAGGCAACGAUGCAUAGCCGACCUGAGAGGUGGAUCGGCAACACUGGAACUGAGCCAGGGCCCAGACUCCUACGGGAGGCAGAAGUAGGGAAUCUUCCGCAAUGGGCGAAAGCCUGACGGAGAAAGCCCGCGUGAGGGAUGAAGGUCUUCGGAUCGUAAAACUCUGUUAUUAGGGAAGAACAUAUGUGUAAGUAACUGUGCACAUCGUGACGGUACCUAAUCAGAAAGCCACGGCUAACUACGUG